rnacentral:rRNA from 1 species
GGUUAAGCGACUAAGCGUACACGGUGGAUGCCCUGGCAGUCAGAGGCGAUGAAGGACGUGCUAAUCUGCGAUAAGCGCCGGUAAGGUGAUAUGAACCGUUAUAACCGGCGAUUUCCGAAUGGGGAAACCCAGUGUGACUCGUCACACUAUCAUUAACUGAAUCCAUAGGUUAAUGAGGCGAACCGGGGGAACUGAAACAUCUAAGUACCCCGAGGAAAAGAAAUCAACCGAGAUUCCCCCAGUAGCGGCGAGCGAACGGGGAGGAGCCCAGAGCCUGAAUCAGCAUGUGUGUUAGUGGAAGCGUCUGGAAAGGCGCGCGAUACAGGGUGACAGCCCCGUACACAAAAGCGCAUGUGCUGUGAGCUCGAUGAGUAGGGCGGGACACGUGGUAUCCUGUCUGAAUAUGGGGGGACCAUCCUCCAAGGCUAAAUACUCCUGACUGACCGAUAGUGAACCAGUACCGUGAGGGAAAGGCGAAAAGAACCCCGGCGAGGGGAGUGAAAAAGAACCUGAAACCGUGUACGUACAAGCAGUGGGAGCCCCACCACUAAGCCAGUGGUGAACUCCACAUACGCAUCCUUUGCUGAGGAUACGGUUAACGGAGCGAAAGCGACGUUCAACCUCAAAAGAAGCAGAGGGGGCUUAGUGGUGGGGUGACUGCGUACCUUUUGUAUAAUGGGUCAGCGACUUAUAUUCUGUAGCAAGGUUAACCGAAUAGGGGAGCCGGAGGGAAACCGAGUCUUAAUUGGGCGUUAAGUUGCAGGGUAUAGACCCGAAACCCGGUGAUCUAGCCAUGGGCAGGUUGAAGGUUGGGUAACACUAACUGGAGGACCGAACCGACUAAUGUUGAAAAAUUAGCGGAUGACCUGUGGCUGGGGGUGAAAGGCCAAUCAAACCGGGAGAUAGCUGGUUCUCCCCGAAAGCUAUUUAGGUAGCGCCUCGUGAAUUCAUCUCCGGGGGUAGAGCACUGUUUCGGCUAGGGGGCCAUCCCGGCUUACCAACCCGAUGCAAACUGCGAAUACCGGAGAAUGUUAUCACGGGAGACACACGGCGGGUGCUAACGUCCGUCGUGAAGAGGGAAACAACCCAGACCGCCAGCUAAGGUCCCAAAGUCAUGGUUAAGUGGGAAACGAUGUGGGAAGGCCCAGACAGCCAGGAUGUUGGCUUAGAAGCAGCCAUCAUUUAAAGAAAGCGUAAUAGCUCACUGGUCGAGUCGGCCUGCGCGGAAGAUGUAACGGGGCUAAACCAUGCACCGAAGCUGCGGCAGCGACGCUUAUGCGUUGUUGGGUAGGGGAGCGUUCUGUAAGCCUGUGAAGGUGUGUCGUGAGGCAUGCUGGAGGUAUCAGAAGUGCGAAUGCUGACAUAAGUAACGAUAAAGCGGGUGAAAAGCCCGCUCGCCGGAAGACCAAGGGUUCCUGUCCAACGUUAAUCGGGGCAGGGUGAGUCGACCCCUAAGGCGAGGCCGAAAGGCGUAGUCGAUGGGAAACGGGUUAAUAUUCCCGUACUUGGUGUUACUGCGAAGGGGGGACGGAGAAGGCUAUGUUGGCCGGGCGACGGUUGUCCCGGUUUAAGCGUGUAGGCUGGUUUUCCAGGCAAAUCCGGAAAAUCAAGGCUGAGGCGUGAUGACGAGGCACUACGGUGCUGAAGCAACAAAUGCCCUGCUUCCAGGAAAAGCCUCUAAGCAUCAGGUAACAUCAAAUCGUACCCCAAACCGACACAGGUGGUCAGGUAGAGAAUACCAAGGCGCUUGAGAGAACUCGGGUGAAGGAACUAGGCAAAAUGGUGCCGUAACUUCGGGAGAAGGCACGCUGACACGUAGGUGAAGUGAUUUACUCAUGGAGCUGAAGUCAGUCGAAGAUACCAGCUGGCUGCAACUGUUUAUUAAAAACACAGCACUGUGCAAACACGAAAGUGGACGUAUACGGUGUGACGCCUGCCCGGUGCCGGAAGGUUAAUUGAUGGGGUCAGCGCAAGCGAAGCUCCUGAUCGAAGCCCCGGUAAACGGCGGCCGUAACUAUAACGGUCCUAAGGUAGCGAAAUUCCUUGUCGGGUAAGUUCCGACCUGCACGAAUGGCGUAAUGAUGGCCAGGCUGUCUCCACCCGAGACUCAGUGAAAUUGAACUCGCUGUGAAGAUGCAGUGUACCCGCGGCAAGACGGAAAGACCCCGUGAACCUUUACUAUAGCUUGACACUGAACAUUGAGCCUUGAUGUGUAGGAUAGGUGGGAGGCUUUGAAGUGUGGACGCCAGUCUGCAUGGAGCCGACCUUGAAAUACCACCCUUUAAUGUUUGAUGUUCUAACGUGGACCCGUGAUCCGGGUUGCGGACAGUGUCUGGUGGGUAGUUUGACUGGGGCGGUCUCCUCCUAAAGAGUAACGGAGGAGCACGAAGGUUGGCUAAUCCUGGUCGGACAUCAGGAGGUUAGUGCAAUGGCAUAAGCCAGCUUGACUGCGAGCGUGACGGCGCGAGCAGGUGCGAAAGCAGGUCAUAGUGAUCCGGUGGUUCUGAAUGGAAGGGCCAUCGCUCAACGGAUAAAAGGUACUCCGGGGAUAACAGGCUGAUACCGCCCAAGAGUUCAUAUCGACGGCGGUGUUUGGCACCUCGAUGUCGGCUCAUCACAUCCUGGGGCUGAAGUAGGUCCCAAGGGUAUGGCUGUUCGCCAUUUAAAGUGGUACGCGAGCUGGGUUUAGAACGUCGUGAGACAGUUCGGUCCCUAUCUGCCGUGGGCGCUGGAGAACUGAGGGGGGCUGCUCCUAGUACGAGAGGACCGGAGUGGACGCAUCACUGGUGUUCGGGUUGUCAUGCCAAUGGCACUGCCCGGUAGCUAAAUGCGGAAGAGAUAAGUGCUGAAAGCAUCUAAGCACGAAACUUGCCCCGAGAUGAGUUCUCCCUGAGACUUAAAGUCUCCUGAAGGAACGUUGAAGACGACGACGUUGAUAGGCCGGGUGUGUAAGCGCAGCGAUGCGUUGAGCUAACCGGUACUAAUGAACCGUGAGGCUUAACCUUACAACGCCG